ACACCGUUGGUGAAGUGGUUAUCAUGCUUGCCUUCCAUUUCUGAAACAGAACGGCUCCAGCAAGCGGCUCGGGUUCGAUUCCCGAACGGUGUA